ensembl:snRNA U6 U6 spliceosomal RNA
GUGCUCACUCCAGCAGCACAUAUACUAAAACUGGAACAAUACAGAGAAGACUUGCAUGGCCCCUGAACAAGAAUGACACACAAAUUCAUGAAGUGUUGCAUAUUUUU